CUUUCUCAGGACUUUCCAGGUUUUAGCACUGAAAGUCUCACAUCCCUGAAAUCCACUUGCUAGAAACCCCUCAGUCCUGAGCAAAUCAGGGCAUUUGGUCCUCUUAUGCAGAGGGGUGGAUGGUGCUAAGGAAUGUUAGAGGGUAGGGAGGGACAGAGGGUGGCAGCCUCCAAGAAGCAGAUUCUGGAUAUUCUUAGCAAAAGCCGGAAAGAAAAUGGCUUUCCUGCAACCCAUGUGGCUGGCUCAACUCUUCACUUACAGGAGACAUGAGUGAGUUUGGGUCAAGUUUUUAAUAAAUGAAGCCACAACUUUGGCAGAUUUGUUAGCACUGCAGUUACACAGAGUGGAAGAUGAUGUCCGAAGGAUUGUGGACAAGGCGGUAAAAGAGCUGGGGACUGAGAAGGUUAUUACUGAAAUCAGUCAGACCUGGGCAACCGUGAAGUUUUCUUAUGAAGUUCACUAUCGAACAGGCAUUCCAUUACUAAAGUUUGAUGAACAACUUUUUGAAACUCUAGAGCACAACCAAGUUCAGUUGCAGACUCUUCUUCAAAGCAAGUAUGUAGAAUAUUUCAUUGAGCAAGUGUUAAGCUGGCAAAAUAAAUUAAACAUAGCAGACUUGGUCAUCUUCACUUGGAUGGAAGUCCAGCGAACUUGGUCUCACCUGGAAAGCAUUUUUGUCUGUUCAGAAGAUAUUCGAAUCCAGCUUGUGAAAGAUGCUAGAAGAUUUGAUGGGG
rnacentral:sRNA from 1 species